rnacentral:ncRNA from 1 species
CGUCGGUCUAGUUUUAGCGGACGAAAAGCCGGAUUCCUUCACCGGCCUGACUGGCGCCCCAAUUGAUGAGGG